rnacentral:snRNA from 1 species
AAAAAGGGCGUGCCAUGAUGCCAUUCUCUAGGGAAUGGUUGAUAUGGCGGGAGUCUUGGUUUACUCUCGCGGUAUGGCAAUCAAGACAUAUCGAGCGCAUAAUUUUUUGAUUUGGGGUGGCUCGCAAUAGGCUUCGCUCAAGCCGGGGCCACCUU